rnacentral:rRNA from 1 species
GUAACAAGGUUUCCGUAGGUGAACCUGCGGAAGGAUCAUUACCAAGAACCACACAGAAAAGGGAGGCAAAGGGGCCUACAGGGCUAGUAGCUUAUACGUUGUUGAACGUCCUGCCUGGACCCGGAGCCGCCCCCAUCUAAACCCUCUGCGUACCUGUCCCUUCUUGCUUCCCCCGGCAUCUCGUCGGGGGGAGGUAACAACCAAAACUCUCUGUGAAUCAAACAGCCGUCAGAAUUAUAAAACAAACAAAAGUUAAAACUUUCAACAACGGAUCUCUUGGUUCCCACAUCGAUGAAGAACGCAGCGAAAUGCGAUAAGUAAUGUGAAUUGCAGAAUUCAGUGAAUCAUCGAAUCUUUGAACGCACAUUGCGCCCCCUGGUAUUCCGGGGGGCAUGCCUGUUCGAGCGUCAUAAAAACCUCCUCCCCCUUCGGGUUUUGUUACUAUCGUUGGGGGGUUUUGGCCUAAUGGGAUAGCGAUUGGCAAUUCGUUUCCCAAUGUCCUAAAUAGACGUAGACCCGCCUCCAGAUGCGACAGCACCGAGGCCAUCAACCGUGGAGUUAUGGGAUAUAAUAGGCUUGCAGUAAAAUGCUCACCUCUCUCCACACGCCGAUGGCACGACAGUUGCAGUUGCGGGCGUAAAUUGGAGCCCUUUUCAGGACCCUUGUGGCCUAGCAUCCACCAUACAUAAUUUGACCUCGGAUCAGGUAGGGAUACCCGCUGAACUUAAGCAU